rnacentral:misc_RNA from 1 species
GAUGAAGAACGCAGCGAAAUGCGAUAAGUAAUGUGAAUUGCAGAAUUCAGUGAAUCAUCGAAUCUUUGAACGCACAUUGCGCCCCCUGGUAUUCCGGGGGGCAUGCCUGUUCGAGCGUCAUUUCACCACUCAAGCCUCGCUUGGUAUUGGGCAACGCGGUCCGCCGCGUGCCUCAAAUCGACCGGCUGGGUCUUCUGUCCCCUAAGCGUUGUGGAAACUAUUCGCUAAAGGGUGCUCGGGAGGCUACGCCGUAAAACAAACCCAUUUCUAAGGUUGACCUCGGAUCAGGUAGGGAUACCCGCUGAACUUAAGCAUAUCAUAAGCGGAGGA